GGACCAAGGAGUCUAGCAUGUGCGCGAGUCAUUGGGAUCUUUACUAAACCUAAAGGCGCAAUGAAAGUGAAGGUCCGCCUUGCGCGGACCGAGGGAGGAUGGACCGUUCCGAGGGACGGCCCCGCACUCCCGGGGCGUCUCGCUCUCAUCGCGAGAAGAGGCGCACCCAGAGCGUACACGCUGGGACCCGAAAGAUGGUGAACUAUGCCUGGUCAGGACGAAGUCAGGGGAAACCCUGAUGGAGGUCCGUAGCGAUUCUGACGUGCAAAUCGAUCGUCGGAACUGGGUAUAGGGGCGAAAGACUAAUCGAACCAUCUAGUAGCUGGUUCCCUCCGAAGUUUCCCUCAGGAUAGCUGGCGCUCGCUUCUCGCGAGUCUCAUUCGGUAAAGCGAAUGAUUAGAGGCAUUGGGGUCGAAACGGCCUCAACCUAUUCUCAAACUUUAAAUGGGUGAGAUCUCCGGCUUGCUUGAACUGUGAAGCCGCGAGAUAUCGGAUCAGAGUGCCAAGUGGGCCACUUUUGGUAAGCAGAACUGGCGCUGUGGGAUGAACCAAACGCUGAGUUAAAGCGCCUAAAUCGACGCUUAUGGGAUACCAUGAAAGGCGUUGGUAACUUAAGACAGCAGGACGGUGGCCAUGGAAGUCGGA
rnacentral:rRNA from 1 species